rnacentral:rRNA from 1 species
UACGUAGGGUGCGAGCGUUAAUCGGAAUUACUGGGCGUAAAGCGUGCGCAGGCGGUGCGCCAAGCUCGAUGUGAAAUCCCCGGGCUUAACCUGGGAAUGGCAUUUGGGACUGCAAGGCUGGAGUGUGGCAGAGGAGACUGGAAUUCCUGGUGUAGCAGUGAAAUGCGUAGAUAUCAGGAGGAAUACCGAUGGCGAAGGCAGGUCUCUGGGCUGACACUGACGCUCAUGCACGAAAGCGUGGGGAGCAAACAGG